GGGUGAGUAACACGUGGGCAACCUGCCCAAAAGAGGGGGAUAACACUUGGAAACAGGUGCUAAUACCGCAUAACCAUAGUUACCGCAUGGUAACUAUGUAAAAGGUGGCUAUACUACCGCUUUUGGAUGGGCCCGCGGCGCAUUAGCUAGUUGGUAGGGUAAAGGCUUACCAAGGCAAUGAUGCGUAGCCGAAUUGAGAGGUUGAUCGGCCACAUUGGGACUGAGACACGGCCCAAACUCCUACGGGAGGCAGCAGUAGGGAAUCUUCCACAAUGGGCGAAAGCCUGAUGGAGCAACGCCGCGUAGGUGAAGAAGGUCUUCGGAUCGUAAAACCCUGUUGUUAGAGAAGAAAGUGCGUGAGAGUAACUGUUCACGUUUCGACGGUAUCUAACCAGAAAGCCACGGCUAACUACGUGCCAGCAGCCGCGGUAAUACGUAGGUGGCAAGCGUUAUCCGGAUUUAUUGGGCGUAAAGGGAACGCAGGCGGUCUUUUAAGUCUGAUGUGAAAGCCUUCGGCUUAACCGGAGUAGUGCAUUGGAAACUGGGAGACUUGAGUGCAGAAGAGGAGAGUGGAACUCCAUGUGUAGCGGUGAAAUGCGUAGAUAUAUGGAAGAACACCAGUGGCGAAAGCGGCUCUCUGGUCUGUAACUGACGCUGAGGUUCGAAAGCGUGGGUAGCAAACAGGAUUAGAUACCCUGGUAGUCCACGCCGUAAACGAUGAAUGCUAAGUGUUGGAG
rnacentral:rRNA from 1 species